AAGUUAUCUCUGCAUGUGAAAUAAGUCACAUGAGAUAACACACGGGAGAAGUCACAUGGGUUAACACAUGGGAUAAGACAUGGAAUAACUCACAGGGGUUAACACCACUUACAAAGAAAAGGGUUUUCAAGAUCACGUCUCAAAACAAGGCUUAGCCAGCAGCCUCCAAAGAUUAAACAACUUUCCAACAGAAAAUCUAUUCCAAAAAUGCGAGAAGAGCGUGGAAUGCAGACAAGCAACGUUAAUGCGUGUUAUUAGCAGCAUUAUCAUAAUUAACCGAGCAGUCCUGCAGCAGGCACCCCAAGUUCGCUGAAACUUCCUGAACACACCCUCUGAGAGGGAGAGCCGUGGCCAGUCAGUACCUCCCUGAAGAUUUUCACCUGCUAGUGCCCAGCAUCACUCAUGACACUAUAACCACUUCCCAUAGAAGUAAUAAAGAAGAAUAAUACUGACUGUGUCCAGUCCUGGAUGCAAGUUCCUUGGUUGCUUCUGGUUGGCUUCAGGUCACCAGUCUUCACAGCUAGCCCCAAAAGCAGAACCAACCACAGGAGCAACUCAUUCUGCAAGUUAAGGACCACAGAAGACAGAUGGGAGCAAUAUAUUAAGAAAGUUGCUGCGCCUUCUCUUCUAUUCCUGCGCAGCUUCUGUGUCCAUCAAAGUGAGCUUUGGUAUUUUGAACAUUUUCUGAGCACUCCCA
rnacentral:lncRNA from 1 species